CACGUAGGGGACGAGCGUUGUCCGGAUUCAUUGGGCGUAAAGCGCGCGUAGGCGGCUCGGUAAGUCGGUCGUGAAAUGCCGGGGCUCAACCCCGGGACUGCGUCCGAUACUUCCGAGCCGGAGGCAGGUAGGGGAGAUCGGAAUUCCUGGUGUAGCGGUGAAAUGCGCAGAUAUCAGGAGGAGCACCGGUGGCGAAGGCGGAUCUCUGGGCCUUGCCUGACGCUGAGGCGCGAAAGCUAGGGGAGCGAACAGG
rnacentral:rRNA from 1 species